rnacentral:rRNA from 1 species
GAUGAACGCUGGCGGCGUGCCUAAUACAUGCAAGUCGAGCGAACAGACGAGGAGCUUGCUCCUCUGAUGUUAGCGGCGGACGGGUGAGUAACACGUGGAUAACCUACCUAUAAGACUGGGAUAACUUCGGGAAACCGGAGCUAAUACCGGAUAACAUGUUGAACCGCAUGGUUCAACAGUGAAAGACGGUCUUGCUGUCACUUAUAGAUGGAUCCGCGCCGCAUUAGCUAGUUGGUAAGGUAACGGCUUACCAAGGCAACGAUGCGUAGCCGACCUGAGAGGGUGAUCGGCCACACGGGAACUGAGACACGGUCCAGACUCCUACGGGAGGGAGCAGUAGGGAAUCUUCCGCAAUGGGCGAAAGCCUGACGGAGCAACGCCGCGUGAGUGAAGAAGGUCUUCGGAUCGUAAAACUCUGUUAUUAGGGAAGAACAAAUGUGUAAGUAACUAUGCACGUCUUGACGGUACCUAAUCAGAAAGCCACGGCUAACUACGUG